GUAUGCCUAACACAUGCAAGUCGAACGAGGUAGCAAUACCUAGUGGCGGACGGGUGAGGAAUACGUAGGGAUCUGCCUUUAAGUGGGGGAUAACCCGGGGAAACCCGGAUUAAUACCGCAUGAUCUCGCAAGAGCAAAGUGGGGGAUCGCAAGACCUCACGCUUUUAGAGGAACCUACGUCGGAUUAGCUUGUUGGUGAGGUAACGGCUCACCAAGGCGACGAUGCGUAGCCGACCUGAG
rnacentral:rRNA from 1 species